CUGAAGCGUGGCGCGUGCGUGCGUACUGGUUGUAGUUGAUGAGGAUCUUGCCGGCGUCGAGGUUGCCGAUGGUGUUGAAGGCCUCCUGGGAGAGGUCGAGCGUGGCCUGGCAUCCCGGCGACGGGCAGCGGUCGACGAUCUUGACGGUGACGCUGCCGCCUUUGCAGGGGUUCGGGGUGGCGUUGGUGCCGCCGGCGCAGGACACCUGGUACAUCCGCCCGCACGCCGCGCCGUUGUCCCACAGCCCGUCGCUCGCCGCCGCGAUCAUCGUGCCCUCGUCCUGGUACCCGUAGCACGCCGACGCUGCAGAACGCACGCACAGACCUCGAUCAGGUUCAGAAACUGUGGACGCCAUGCAUGUGCAUGCAGAAAUAUAUGUAUAUAUAUAUGUUCAUGAUGUGAUGAUAUGGCCGGCGCGCGGCUAGAGCGAGCGACGCACGAGUGUAGACGGUGUAGUAGGUGGCGGUGCCCUGGUCGGCGAGCGACGCCGAGACAAGGCAGCCGAGCAGGGCGGCGACGAGCAGAGCGGCGGCGGCAGCCUUCGCCAUGGCCGAAAGCAACUAAUAACUAACAGCUCUUCCUUUUUUUUUUUUUGGCUCUAGACUAGAGAGAAGAGGUAGCCGCCGGGUGCGUAGUGUUCUU
rnacentral:lncRNA from 1 species